UGUUUCCCAAAGCGAACGGGGUUUGAGAAUGACUACCCAGAGAGUGCAAGGCGAGGGACAUCUGGCACAUGAGCCACGUGCAGGAUGUCAGUCAAUUAUCCUGGAAAUGUACUUCCGUUGAUCUAGACUAAUCUGCUGAUUAUAUCUCC